UCUUCUGAUCCAGCUUCCUGUUUGCCUUUCAAUUCGAGCUUCAGAUGGUUCCAAUGGAGAUCCUCUGCGCUGAGUUGGAAGCUGCACGAAAUCCAUUCAUUCCGAAAAUGCCGCAGCGAGCACAAGCACUCGUGCUCACACACAUACACACACACACGCACGCACACACACACACAUAUGCACCACUAGAUAAGCAAUAGAAGGGAGUUCGCUCAAAUGUUCUGUUGUUUCGCCAUUUCCUGUGCCGAAAAAAUUAAACAAAGCCGUGCUUCACAACAAUUGCUAGCCAAGUUUCCCACUUUUGGACGACAGAACUUCCUGGCAUGCUUGCAGCUUGGCUUUUCAUUAGAGCGGCCAUAGCUUCACCCAGCAUGUGUUUGUUUGUUUGUGUGUGUGUGCGUGUGUGUGUGUACGUGUGUGUGUGCGCGCAUUUUGUGACUGGUUGUGUUCAUGAGUUUGGGCAGUGAUUGUGAUCAGGAUGGAAAUAUGUGUGGACGUAUUGGCGAGAUGAAAAUGAGAGCAAAUGAAACGGGAGGCCCCGAAAUACUGUGAAAGUCAAUUUUGAAUGUGCGACCGAGUUCUGUGAUGAUGCAGGUGUUUGUCAUUUACUCCAUGCCAGCUGCUUCUUUCUCCACUCUGUGUAUGUUUAAACAUUUUUCUCCACUGUGGUGUCUGUUCCCCUUGCUCCUAAGUAAAUGUCACAGCAAGCUGCUGCGCUUCCCACACCACACUGUGGGAGACGGACCAACCUCAUCGCCGUGGCAACCCUCUGUUCUGCUUCAAAGAGCGGAGGCAAGGGCAGGGAGAAAAGAACUUUUAUGCCGACGAGCCCCCUCUAGCUUCCUCAUUCCCUCUUGUCCUCACGCAUUGUAACACUGGCUGGGACCAUGUGCGCCAGCUCCCAGUGUUCAAUGGGGCCAGAGGAGGAGGACAGCGUGCCAGGGACAAGGUAAUUCUGAGGUGACCUUGCAUAGACGAGAUGAGAGUCGUAGAGUUGCAAGUCAGCAGCUCGCUGAUGAGGAAUGCUGUGUGCAUCCUGGUGUUCCCAUUUGGAGUACGCCUGCCUCAAGGUAGCAUAUGGCAUUCUAAGACUUGCUGGACUCAUCGGCCUCCCACACAACACGGCGCCAUCUCUCCCUCCCUCCACAGCUCAUUUAUGUGCUCUCCAAAUGCUAUUUUCUCACCCCCUCUCCGCAAGGAGCCCCCAUUGCUCCAAAUUCAAAAAGCCACACUUCAGUGACACUCACCGUAGGGAAGGUUCAGCUUGCCAUUUGGUGAGAGGAGACUAGUGUCAUUAGUUAAAUAUUAGCCAGGCUCUACUCCAAGGGAGGGGUACAAGAGCCUUUGCCCUUUUUUGGCUUUGUGAUCUGUACCACUCACUCAAACAUCCCUUUAUUCCAAACUCAUGCAGAUGGUGCUCUUUUUGUUCUCUUUUGUACAUCCUACCAAGCGAGUAUUCAACUCACCUGAGCACAGUGGAACAAUGAAGGUUGGGUCAGAACCACAAAUGAAAACAAAGUAAUAAAGUGUGCCACAAUGUCAACAUGAACAGAUGGUUCUGCUCAAUAAAUGUUGUCGUCUGCAGGCGCCUUUUUCAUGGGAGACGUUUAGUCAAGUUAUUGAUGAAUACCCAAAGGUAGAAAAACUAUUGAUUCUAUUGGGUAUUUCUAACAAGAUGUUGCCUGAAUUGAACAAAGAAGUAGAAAACAACGCAAUAAACUAAAGACAAGCACAGGCACAAGUGGUCUGUUCUUUCUAUGCCAUUAUAUAGAUUUGCAAGAAAAAAUAUAUGAAUCCUUUGUAAUUUCUAAAAUUCUAAAAUGUGAUUUGAAGAAAAGGCACAGCACAUCACCAUAGAAACCUCAUCCCAACUGUGAAGUAUGGUGGAGUGGUCUGCUUCGCCUAAUGAGGGCUUGGGCGCAUUGCUAUCAUUGAUGGAAAAACGAAUUCCCAAUUUUAUUGAGACAUUUUCCAGGAGAAUUUAAGACUAUCUGUGUAAUGAUUGAAUCAGAAAAUGAUGGAUAUACAUAAUGGGACAAUGACCCAAAGUAAGACCCAACAGCUGAAUGGCACCAACGAAAGAAAAUGGAAUGACUGAACUCAGCCUGAUUGAAAUGCGGUGGACAUCAAGAGAGCAAUUCACACCAGACAACUCAAGAAUAUUGCUGGAACGAAAAUGUUUUGUAAUGGGGGAAUGAUCCAAAAUUCCUCCUGACUGUUGUGCGGGGCUGAUCUGCAACUACAGGAAAUGUUUGGCCGAGGUUAUUGUUGACAGGAUGGCGAACCAGUUAUUAAAUCCAAAUGUUUACAUACUUUCUCCAACCUGCAGUUUCAUAUUUACAUGUUGUGUCCAAUAAAAACAUGAAAAAAUAAAAU